CAUCGUUUUUUCAGGGUCCAACCCCAAUGCUCGUUCAUUUUAAAACGGAAAGUGAUGUAACAAUUAACAACACAUGAACUGAGCAUCCACCAUCUUCACACAACUAUAUAGCCGCCAAGAUCAAGCAAAAACGGAUAUCGAUAUGGACUCUGGUCGUGGUCAUGUCAUGACAGGCACAGGCCACAGUGACAGGCAAUUUUUGCAAGAAGAGUCCGGGGAGCGCCGGCGGACGGCGCGGCCAGGUGUGCCAGGUGUGUGUUCUGCCGGCCGCUGUCGUCGCUGCGCGCCGCUGCCGACCGGUGACCGGGCCAUGCCGCUGCGCCUAGUGCUGCGCUACCUGGCCAGUGAUCGCGUGGUGGAGCGGCUGAGCCACUGGUGGCCGGUACGCUGGGCGGCGCGGCGCGUCGCCGACGGCCUGGUCCGCUCUGUGCGCGCCGCAGAACAGGUGGCGCGCUCCGAGGCCGCCCAAAGCGCCCGGCGCAGGUCGGCCAGCUUCCGGGCCACGUUCAGUGAGGAGCUGCGCAGGGGUUUCGAAGAGAUGAACAGGCGGAAUAAGACAUAGUGCUCGCGAUUGAGGACAGAAUGUAUGUUGUGUCCGGCGAUAGAGCUGCCUAUAUUUUUGGCUGCGCAGUAUAGACUCGCCGCAGUAUAGACUCUCCGCUGUCGAGACUCGCUGGUGGUGUGAACUAGGUCGGCAACGUGUUUCCUGUGGUAAACUUCCCUACAGGUAUUGCCAAUGAAAGUGAGGGUAGCUCAAACCCCUGAGUCAUUCAGGGGUUUAGAUGUUAAACACUAUAAAAGAUAGAAAGAUUGAUCGGCCCAUGGUCAGUGGAGCGAUUGUUGACCUGCUGCUGCCUCCGUCAGGCCUGCUGUGCGUCUGCUGGCUGCAAGUGUAUAGUGACCGUAUGGAAUAAAAUUGAGGAAUGUU
rnacentral:misc_RNA from 1 species